GAGGGUGAGAAUCCCGUCUUUGACUCAGUGCAUGCUACUAUGUGAUACGUUUUCAAAGAGUCGAGUUGUUUGGGAAUGCAGCUCAAAAUGGGUGGUAAAUUUCAUCUAAGGCUAAAUAUUGGCGAGAGACCGAUAGCGAACAAGUACCGUGAGGGAAAGAUGAAAAGAACUUUGAAAAGAGAGUUAAACAGUGCGUGAAAUUGUUGAAAGGGAAACGCUUGACACCAGUCAUGCGAGCGGAAAAUCAGUCUUUUGCAGUGGGGAGUUGUGUGGGUUCGGACCGCAAGGCCGGCCUGCGCUGCAUCUCUGCUGUAAGUGAUGCACUUUUUCGUUUGCAGGCCAACAUCAGUUUCUUCUGCUGGACAAAACUCUUGAGAAGGUAGCAGCUUUGGCUGUGUUAUAGCUCUUGAGCGAUACAGUGGAGGGGACUGAGGUUUUCGCAGCGCGUGCUCUCGGGCAAGGCUGAUUGGGUGCUAUGGGAUCGUUCGGUGUACAAUGCUUGCAUUUUGCGCCGUGUCUUUUCUGUACUCGCUCAACUCGGCUCUUCCGCGCUUAGGAUGUUGGCUUAAUGGUUUUAAUCGACCCGUCUUGAAACACGGACCAAGGAGUCUAACAUAUAUGCAAGUGUUUGGGUGGCAAACCCAUGCGCGUAAUGAAAGUGAACGUAGGUGCCAUCCGCAAGGUGCAGCAUCGACCGAUCUUGAUAUUUUUGGAUAGAUUUGAGUAAGAGCAUAUAUGCUGGGACCCGAAAGAUGGUGAACUAUGCCUGAAUAGGGUGAAGCCAGAGGAAACUCUGGUGGAGGCUCGUAGCGAUUCUGACGUGCAAAUCGAUCGUCAAAUUUGGGUAUAGGGGCGAAAGACUAAUCGAACCAUCAGAGCGCAC
rnacentral:rRNA from 1 species